UACGUAGGGUGCGAGCGUUGUCCGGAUUUAUUGGGCGUAAAGAGCGUGUAGGCGGCCAGGUAGGUCUGGUGUGAAAACUCGAGGCUUAACCUUGAGAUGUCAUCGGAAACCAUUUGGCUAGAGUCCGGAAGAGGAAAGUGGAAUUCCUGGUGUAGCGGUGAAAUGCGCAGAUAUCAGGAAGAACACCAAUGGCGAAAGCAGCUUUCUGGGACGGUACUGACGCUGAGACGCGAAAGCGUGGGGAGCGAACAGG
rnacentral:rRNA from 1 species